rnacentral:RNase_P_RNA from 1 species
UCAGCCGGCCGGACGGCCGCUCCCGCAAGCGCGGAAACGCCGCGGGGGAGGAAAGUCCGGGCUCCAUGGAAAAACGGUGCCGGGUAACACCCGGCGGGGGCGACCCCAGGGAAAGUGCCACAGAAAGCAAACCGCCACGGCCGAGGCCGUGGCAAGGGUGAAAGGGUGGGGUAAGAGCCCACCGCGCGACCGGCAACGGAAGCGGCACGGCAAACCCCACCGGGAGCAAAACCGAAUAGGGGCGGCGUGGGGGCUGAAAGGUCCCCGGCGGUUCCACGCCAGUCGCCCGGGUAGGUUGCGAGAGGCGUCCGGCAACGGGCGCCCAAGAUGAAUGGCCGUCACGCGUGGCUUCGCGUCACGCCUUACAGAACCCGGCUUAAAGGCCGGCUGACACU